rnacentral:rRNA from 1 species
CUACGUGCCAGCAGCCGCGGUAAUACGGAUGUCCCGGGCGUUAUCCGGAUUUAUUGGGCGUAAAGGGAGCGUAGGCCGUUAUGUAAGCCUGUUGUGAAAAGCAGGGGCUCAACGUUGGCAUGCGGCGCGAACUGCAUGACUAGAGUACUGGAGAGGUAGGCGGAAUUCGUCGUGUAGAGGUGAAAUGCGUAGAUAUGACGAAGAAUGCCGAUGGCGAAGCCAGCUUGCGGGACAGAUACUGACGCUGAAGCGCGAAAGCGCGGGUAGCAAACAGGAUUAGAUACCCUGGUAGUCCACACGGUAAACGAUGAAUACUAGGUGUCAGGCUUCGAACCUCGGCGCCCAAGCUAACGCGAUAAGUAAUCCGCCUGGGGAGUACGCCCGCAAGUAUGAAACUCAAAGGAAUUGACGGGGACCCGCACAAGCGGAGGAACAUGUGGUUUAAUUCGACGCAACGCGAGGAACCUUACCAGCGUUUAACAUC